rnacentral:ncRNA from 2 species
UAUUGCAUUCAAGGAGAAGGACUGCAUUCGCCGAAGGAGCAAGUUCCCAGGAAACUCUCAGGCAAAAGGACUGUGAUAAUGGA